GCAAGUCGAGCGGACAGAAGGGAGCUUGCUCCCGGAUGUUAGCGGCGGACGGGUGAGUAACACGUGGGUAACCUGCCUGUAAGACUGGGAUAACUCCGGGAAACCGGAGCUAAUACCGGAUAGUUCCUUGAACCGCAUGGUUCAGGGAUGAAAGACGGUUUCGGCUGUCACUUACAGAUGGACCCGCGGCGCAUUAGCUAGUUGGUGAGGUAACGGCUCACCAAGGCGACGAUGCGUAGCCGACCUGAGAGGGUGAUCGGCCACACUGGGACGGAGACACGGCCCAGACUCCUACGGGGGGCAGCAGUAGGGAAUCUUCCGCAAUGGACGAAGGUCUGACGGAGCAACGCCGCGUGAGUAUGAAGGUUUUCGGAUCGUAAAGCUCUGUUGUUAGGGAAG
rnacentral:rRNA from 1 species